rnacentral:rRNA from 1 species
GAUGAACGCUGGCGGCGUGCCUAAUACAUGCAAGUCGAGCGAACAGACGAGGAGCUUGCUCCUUUGACGUUAGCGGCGGACGGGUGAGUAACACGUGGGUAACCUACCUAUAAGACUGGGAUAACUUCGGGAAACCGGAGCUAAUACCGGAUAAUAUUUCGAACCGCAUGGUUCGAUAGUGAAAGAUGGCUUUGCUAUCACCUAUAGAUGGACCUGCGCCGUAUUAGCUAGUUGGUAAGGUAACGGCUUACCAAGGCAACGAUACGUAGCCGACCUGAGAGGGUGAUCGGCCACACUGGAACUGAGACACGGUCCAGACUCCUACGGGAGGCAGCAGUAGGGAAUCUUCCGCAAUGGGCGAAAGCCUGACGGAGCAACGCCGCGUGAGUGAUGAAGGUCUUCGGAUCGUAAAACUCUGUUAUUAGGGAAGAACAAACGUGUAAGUAACUGUGCACGUCUUGACGGUACCUAAUCAGAAAGCCACGGCUAACUACGUG